ACGGAAGGCAGCAGUGGGGAAUAUUGCACAAUGGGCGAAAGCCUGAUGCAGCGACGCCGCGUGAGUGAAGAAGUAUCUCGGUAUGUAAAGCUCUAUCAGCAGGGAAGAAAAUGACGGUACCUGACUAAGAAGCCCCGGCUAACUACGUGCCAGCAGCCGCAGUAAUACGUAGGGGGCAAGCGUUAUCCGGAUUUACUGGGUGUAAAGGGAGCGUAGACGGUUUGGCAAGUCUGAAGUGAAAUGCGGGGGCUCAACUCCUGAACUGCUUUGGAAACUGUCGAACUAGAGUGCAGGAGAGGUAAGUGGAAUUCCUAGUGUAGCGGUGAAAUGCGUAGAUAUUAGGAGGAACACCAGUGGCGAAGGCGGCUUACUGGACUGUAACUGACGUUGAGGCUCGAAAGCGUGGGGAGCAAACAGGAUUAGAUACCCUGGUA
rnacentral:rRNA from 1 species